AACCACACCAUGACGUCAUUUCGAUCGUUCAUAAUGUGUAUUGUGAUUUUUCUCGAAAUGGCAGACUUGAAAACAGAUAAUCUUGAUAUUAUGGAUUAUGACAUUGCCUCAAGUAAAAUAACGGCACUCAUAUCACCGAUUUCAGAUGAAUACAUUCCUUCAAUUUCUGACAAGAUUUGGUCAGGGUUUUUCCAAAGACUGUGCAUCACAAACUGAAAACUCAGAGUUACUCAACUUGAAGGAGGUGACAAGGAUGGUGCAACUACUUGUUCAGGACUUGUCUGGUUUGAAAAAGAACUUGUAUUUGGCGAGAUAUGCUUGAAGCUGACUACAAGAACAAGCUGGAAGAAAAGAGUAUUGAUUUAUAUUGCCGUGAAUGAAAGAGUUCUUGACCUAGAGAGGAUGCAUGAAGAGCGCGUAAAAACAAUCAGAAGAUGCUUCAAGCAACAGUUAGCUGACGUUAUUGCACAAAUAUCCAAUGAAUAUGAGCGGUUUAUCAAUAAGGAGAUUGCGAAGCGCGAAAAACUUGAGAACUGUAAGAAAAAUGACGACUUGU